rnacentral:rRNA from 1 species
CAGAUACCGCCCUAGUUCUGACCGUAAACGAUGCCAACUAGCGAUCCGCCAGUCGACUCAUCGCUCUGGUGGGGAGCUUCCCGGAAACGAAAGUCUUCCGGUUCCGGGGGAAGUAUGGUUGCAAAGCUGAAACUUAAAGGAAUUGACGGAAGGGCACCACCAGGAGUGGAGCCUGCGGCUUAAUUUGACUCAACACGGGGAAACUCACCCGGCCCGGACACCGUAAGGAUUGACAGAUUGAUAGCUUUUUCAUGAUUCGGUGGAUGGUGGUGCAUGGCCGUUCUUAGUUCGUGGAGCGAUUUGUCCGGUUUAUUCCGAUAACGAGCGAGACUCUGGCCUACUAAAUAGUUGACGCAUUGCCACUGUGCGCACAACUUCUUAGAGGGAUUUUCGGUGUUUUCAACCGCACGAAAUUGAGCAAUAACAGGUCUGUGAUGCCCUUAGAUGUCCGGGGCUGCACGCGCGCUACACUGGCAAACGCAACGUGCCUGUCCUGCCCCGAAAGGAGCGGGUAAACCCCUGAAAUUUUGCCGUGAUUGGGAUCGGACAUUGCAACUAUUGUCCGUGAACGAGGAAUUCCUUGUAGGGGCGAGUCAUCAACUCGUCCCGAAUACGUCCCUGCCCUUUGUA